AAAGGGUCCGUAGGCGGUUAAUAAGUCAGUGGUGAAAUCUGGUCGCUCAACGAUCAAACGGCCAUUGAUACUGUUAGACUUGAAUUACUAGGAAGUAACUAGAAUAUGUAGUGUAGCGGUGAAAUGCUUAGAUAUUACAUGGAAUACCAAUUGCGAAGGCAGGUUACUACUAGUGGAUUGACGCUGAUGGACGAAAGCGUGGGGAGCGAACAGGAUUAGAUACCCUGGUAGUCCACGCCGUAAACGAUGGAUACUAGCUGUUGGGCGCAAGUUCAGUGGCUAAGCGAAAGUGAUAAGUAUCCCACCUGGGGAGUACGUUCGCAAGAAUGAAACUCAAAGGAAUUGACGGGGGCCCGCACAAGCGGUGGAGCAUGUGGUUUAAUUCGAUGAUACGCGAGGAACCUUACCAAGGCUUAAAUGUAGAUUGACCGGUUUGGAAACAGAUCUUUCGCAAGACAAUUUACAAGGUGCUGCAUGGUUGUCGUCAGCUCGUGCCGUGAGGUGUCAGGUUAAGUCCUAUAACGAGCGCAACCCCUGUUGUUAGUUGCCAGCGAGUCAAGUCGGGAACUCUAACAAGACUGCCAGUGUAAACUGUGAGGAAGGUGGGGAUGACGUCAAAUCAUCACGGCCCUUACGCCUUGGGCUACACACGUGCUACAAUGGACGGUACAGAGAGCAGCCACCUCGCAAGAGGGAGCGAAUCUACAAAACCGUUCUCAGUUCGGAUCGGAGUCUGCAACUCGACUCCGUGAAGCUGGAAACGCUAGUAAUCGGAUAUCAGCCAUGAUCCGGUGAAUACGUUCCCGGGCCUUGUACACACCGCCCGUCAAGCCAUGGAAGCUGGGGGUGCCUGAAGUCGGUGACCGCAAGGAGCUGCCUAGGGUAAAACUGGUAACUAGGGCUAAGUCGUAACAAGGUA
rnacentral:rRNA from 1 species